UACGGGGGGGGGCAAGCGUUGUUCGGAAUUACUGGGCGUAAAGCGUGCGCAGGCGGUGAUGUAAGACAGAUGUGAAAUCCCCGGGCUUAACCUGGGAACUGCAUUUGUGACUGCAUGGCUGGAGUGCGGCAGAGGGGGAUGGAAUUCCGCGUGUAGCAGUGAAAUGCGUAGAUAUGCGGAGGAACACCGAUGGCGAAGGCAAUCCCCUGGGCCUGCACUGACGCUCAUGCACGAAAGCGUGGGGAGCAAACAGG
rnacentral:rRNA from 1 species